rnacentral:rRNA from 1 species
AUUAAACGCCGGCGGCAUGCCUUACACAUGCAAGUCGAACGGUAGCGCGGGGCAACCUGGCGACGAGUGGCGAACGGGUGAGUAAAGCAUCGGAACGUGCCCUGGAAUGGGGGAUAACGUAGCGAAAGUUACGCUAAUACCGCAUAUUCUGUGAGCAGGAAAGCAGGGGAUCGCAAGACCUUGCGUUCUGGGAGCGGCCGAUGUCGGAUUAGCUAGUUGGUGGGGUAAAAGCCUACCAAGGCGACGAUCCGUAGCGGGUCUGAGAGGAUGAUCCGCCACACUGGGACUGAGACACGGCCCAGACUCCUACGGGAGGCAGCAGUGGGGAAUUUUGGACAAUGGGCGGAAGCCUGAUCCAGCCAUGCCGCGUGAGUGAAGAAGGCCUCGG